GGCAGGCCUAACACAUGCAAGUCGAGCGGAUGAGAAGAGCUUGCUCUUCGAUUCAGCGGCGGACGGGUGAGUAAUGCCUAGGAAUCUGCCUGGUAGUGGGGGACAACGUUUCGAAAGGAACGCUAAUACCGCAUACGUCCUACGGGAGAAAGCAGGGGACCUUCGGGCCUUGCGCUAUCAGAUGAGCCUAGGUCGGAUUAGCUAGUUGGUGAGGUAAUGGCUCACCAAGGCGACCGAUCCGUAACUGGUCUGAGAGGAUGAUCAGUCACACUGGAACUGAGACACGGUCCAGACUCCUACGGGAGGCAGCAGUGGGGAAUAUUGGACGAUGGGCGAAAGCCUGAUCCAGCCAUGCCGCGUGUGUGAAGAAGGUCUUCGGAUUGUAAAGCACUUUAAGUUGGGAGGAAGGGCAUUAACCUAAUACGUUAGUGUUUUGACGUUACCGACAGAAUAAGCACCGGCUAACUCUGUGCCAGCAGCCGCGGUAAUACAGAGGGUGCAAGCGUUAAUCGGAAUUACUGGGCGUAAAGCGCGCGUAGGUGGUUUGUUAAGUUGGAUGUGAAAGCCCCGGGCUCAACCUGGGAACUGCAUCCAAAACUGGCAAGCUAGAGUACGGUAGAGGGUGGUGGAAUUUCCUGUGUAGCGGUGAAAUGCGUAGAUAUAGGAAGGAACACCAGUGGCGAAGGCGAUCACCUGGA
rnacentral:rRNA from 1 species